GUCUGAUAUCGAUUAUCAUUUAAGAGCUUUAAAACAUAAUUGCAGGUUUUCUGAUUUGCAUCAAGUACAGGAUUUUUAAAGAUAUUGAGGUACAAAGAGGCACACAUGGAUAAAAUUAAGAAAUUGUUCAAAAAGAAUAAGCAACAUAACAAAGAACGACAUGAGAGUAUUGUCCCUGAAAUUGAAGAGCAAGUUGUUGAACCUUGGAGGAAGUUCGAACCUGGAGGAAGCUGGUCUAAAGGG